rnacentral:rRNA from 1 species
GACGUAGGGCGCGAGCGUUGUCCGGAUUUAUUGGGCGUAAAGAGCUCGUAGGCGGUCUGUCGCGUCGAAUGUGAAAACCCGGGGCUCAACUCCGGGCUUGCAUUCGAUACGGGCAGGCUAGAGUUCGGUAGGGGAGUCUGGAAUUCCUGGUGUAGCGGUGAAAAUGCGCAGAUAUCAGGAGGAACACCGGUGGCGAAGGCGGGACUCUGGGCCGAUACUGACGCUGAGGAGCGAAAGCGUGGGGAGCGAACAGG